rnacentral:rRNA from 1 species
UGGGGAAUUUUGCACAAUGGGGGAAACCCUGAUGCAGCGACGCCGCGUGAUUUAGAAGGCCUUCGGGUUGUAAAAAUCUUUUUUACGGGAUGAAAAUGACAGUACCGUAAGAAUAAGGUCCGGCUAAAUACGUGCCAGCAGCCGCGGUAAUACGUAUGGACCGAGCGUUGUCCGGAAUCAUUGGGCGUAAAGGGUACGUAGGCGGCCUAGUAAGUUAGAAGUGAAAUAAUAUAGCUCAACUAUAUAAAGCUUUUAAAACUGCUAGGCUUGCGCGAUGGAAGGGAAAGUGGAAUUCCUAGUGUCGCGGUGAAAUGCGCAGAUAUUAGGACGCAUACCGGUGUCGACGGCGACUUUCUGGUCAUCCUCUGCCGCUGAGGUACGAAAGCGUGGGUAGCAAACAGG